GCUGAUGUUAUUAUGACGAACUAUGAAAAGAGCAUCAACUAUUUUUAAAUGCUUUAUCUUCAUUAUAUGAAGACAAUUAUUACAAAGUGUUAUGGUAAAAAUUUUGACCACCAUCUAUAUAUGAAAGUUUGGUUUUUCCUCUAAUAGAAUAUGAAAAGGCUAUGGGUGUAAAACAUAUUCUUGUGUCAAUUCCAUACAUAAUGGGGCCUAUAGAUUCUUUCUAGAAGUAGAAAAAAAUGCAUCAAAUCACAUGCAAAUGCUGUUGUUUCUGACCGAUGUCAUAUGGUAUUUUGAACCCCCUAAAAAGUGACCCCAGGGUCAUUUUUCCCAUAUUUUAUUUUGAACCCCCUGUUUUGGAUAAAUAGUAUUGCAGAUAAUCUAAUUUACAAUUAGUUGGCUAUCAUUUUUUUUUAAAUUGGAGGUUUUUAGUAGGGGGUUCAAUAUACAACAGGGGGUUAAAAUACCAUGGCAAAGUAAAAUUUUCAAAACAUUUUUCAAGAGUAAAAUACAUACAAACUACUUAUUGGAGUAAUAUUACUAUGUUAAGGAGUUAGUAUAGCUAAAAUUUUUAAAAUGAGAGGUCUAUAGUGGGGGGUUCAAUAUACUGCAAAGGUGGGGGGUCAAAAUACCAUGGCUAAGUAAAAUUUUCAAAACACCUUUUCAAGCAAGUAAAAUACAUAUAAACUACUUAUUGGAAUACAAUUACUAUGUUAAAUAAGAAUAAGAAUAAGAAUACUUUAUUAAUCCAAUUAUGGACCCUUGCGGGUUUUAAAUUUCAUACAAUGAUUACAAUGAUUUGUUAUAACAAUGAAAUAAUAAAAUGAAAUACAUGACAAUAGAACUCUGAACAGUUAUUGCAUGCACAUGGAAUAGAAAGUAAUAUGGGAGACAAUCAAUCAAUUUCUGUAAGGAUUAUUCCCCUUUAAACAGAUAUGGUGUUUUGAGUUGCAUACAAAUGAUAUGCAGCCUCAAGUGAUUAGAUAUAAGGGUAUUUUUCUCCCAUGUACACACAGCAACCAAUUACUAGAUAUUUAUGUAUAUAAUUAUAUUUUUUGACAAUUGCAGGAAUAUGAUAAGCACCUUAGAGUUUUACUGCAGUUUGUUUAUAAGCAUUUACAUAAUAAUAGAAGAAAUAUGCAUACACAUAGAGAAAUGUGCACUUAAAUUAAAUUUUUGAAUUUAAAAUAUAUAUAUAUAU
rnacentral:lncRNA from 1 species